GGAGUCGUAAAUAAAUCAAUUCUUUUAAAAAAAAAUCCUUACUUUCAUAGCCAAUCAAUUUGUUCAAUGGCAUCCAUGAACAUUUUAUGCAUACCAUCAUUCAAAAUAAUUCUUGGUUUUUUCUCCACCGAAGAAUAAUCUCUAGUAUAUCAUCUUGUUCUUUCCUUUUUUGUAUAUUAGUCAUCCAACUUUCCUCAUCACUAGAGGAUGUACCAGCCACAUACUCAGAAAUUAGCCAUCUUUGUAAACUGUCCACUAGUUCAGUUCCCUCUAUUUCCAUUAAAGAGUUUACAUUACUGCAUUAUAUCAAAAAAAAAACAUUAGUAACAUGUUUUGGAUGAACAAAUAUUUGUGUAAAUUUUGAGAAACAUGGAAUUGAUGCAGAAAACAGCAAGUAUAAAUUAAAGAUCAAGAAGUAGACAAUAAAAAAAUGAUAUAUAUAGUAUAGUUUGACAAAAGUAAUUUACCUCUGAGAUCAGCAACAUUAUUUCUAUUUCCUAGUAAUGAAAUGCCAUGAACAUCGACCAUAUCCUGUAAAAUAGGAGUAUAAAAUUUGUGGCUGUAGAUAAACACAUUGACUUACAUAAAAAAAAUUAUAUAAAUUUAAUAAAGGUAAUUAAAGGGACAAAAAAUAUGAUGUUGGUGUAUCUUAUUACCUCUAAAUUUACAAAUUUCAUAUACAUUUUGCAAGUAAGAGCACAAAUAAGACUGACAUGAUAUAUAUAUGGGUUAUAUGUAUAUACACAGCUGUGUAUUACACAGUAGGGCUAUGGCGACAGAUUUUUUGGGCUAUAGCGACGGUAAAUUGUCACCAUAGCCCAGAAUAGUUAUGACGACGGGUGAAACUAUCGCUAUAGCCUAAAAAACCGUCGCCAUAGCCUACUGUGUAAUACACAGCUGUGUACAUACAUUUUUUUCUAUAUAAAUAAAUAAAUAUAUAUAUAUAUAUAUAUAUAUAUAUAUAUUGCCAAAUUAUUAUAGGGUUAAAUACACUUUCCCCACUCUACUCGAUCUCGGUUUACAAAUACAUCACUGAACUGAAUUUUUUUACGGUCAACUCAUUAAAUUACAUAUUAUUUACAAAAAGUGAUAAAACUGUCAAUGUCCGUUAACCAUUUAACAGAAAACUGACGUGGCAAUAUGUGGCAAUAUAUAAUUAAAAUAUGUGGCAGUAUACUUGCAAUUAAAAUAUGUGGCAGUAUACUUACAAUUUUACUUAAAAUUAAAAGAUAUAUUUUUGAAGACAAUUUUAUUUAUAUUAUUUAUAUAAAAAAUAUAAAAAUGUAAAAAUUUUAUAUAAAAAUAUAAAAUAUAAAAUUUAUAUAAAAUAUAAAAUAUAUAAUAUAAAAAUGUAAAAUAUUUUAUAUAUUUUUUAUAUUUGAAAAAAAAAAGUAUAUUUUAUAUUUAUAUUUUUAAAAGAUAUAUUUUUUGUAGAAAGGGUCUUUCCUUUCCUGUUAUAAGAUAUAUUUUUAAAAGAUAUAUUUUUUGUAUAAAAGAUAUAUUUUAUAUACUCAUCUUUUUUCUCUAGCACAACAAUGGAGCUUAAAUUGAAAAAGGUUUUAUUAAAUUACAGAACAUGAAAUCCUCUAUCACAUAUCUAAUUGCAGACCAUUAAUCCAUCCAUAAUCUCCCUCCCUCUCGCACCGCAAUUGCAGACCAUUAAGCCAUCCAUGUAAAUGACAAACCCCUAAUCUCUCUCUCGCACCGCUGUAAUUCCAAAUCCCCAAGUUAAACACAUUUGCCAUGGAUUUCAUGGCCUGACUCACUUCUUCCACUUCGUCCCAUGCUACCAUACACAAGUAUGAUAGCUAGCAGCACACACAGAUCAGCAAAGAAAAUUCAAAAAAUGUAACGGAUUGUAAAAAAAUUGUAGUUCAAUGAGUUAAUUGUAAAAAAAUUCACUUCAGUGAUGCAUUUGUAAAUUGACUCCUAGUAGAGUGGACAAAAGUGUAUUUAACCCAAUUAUUAUACGAUGACAUAAUUCAGGCAAACAUAUUUGUGAGCGUUUAAAAGAGAUUGGAUAGUUUAAAUAUGGACAUUUUUUUUUAAUUUUAUUAAAUCUAGUCUACACAUUUAUCCUAUGUAUGGAGAUCGGACAGUUUUGAUAUGAACAUUUAUUUAUUUUUAAUUUUGUUAAAUCUAGUCUGCACAUUCCUUCUAAAUACGAUCAAAGAUGUGUUCACCUAAAUUGUGUAAUAGCAAGUAGUUAUUAUAAAUCACUUCUAUAUACAACUUACGAAAAAUCCUAAAAUAAUUUAAUACCAUUACUAUUUUGCUUACAAUUAAAUUGCUUGAGUUGAACAAUAAUAUCACUAAUUGUUAAACCAAAAAAUUCAAAAAAUAAAUUAAGCUCUAACAAUUAAAUAUGUAAUUUACAUUAUUUUACAUAAUUACACUAAUAUAAUUUAUUAGAUCAAGUUAAAUCUCAAUCAAUUAAAAAAAAGAUUUGAUUAUAUUAGAUCAACAUCAUUCAAGAAUAUAAAUGAUUGAAUAAGAUCGAAAUCGUCAAACUCAAUUGAAAUAUUUUGUUGGGUAACGAACAAACCUUUAUAUCAGAACACAAACUUGUCAUUUUUAGGGGAAAUUAAAUAAGAACGAAACC
rnacentral:lncRNA from 1 species